AGCCCAGGACAGGAGUUUCGUCAACAUCAACAGUUGCAUAGGUAGAUAAAUUCAUAGUUCCAACAAACUCCGACAACAAUGAAACCCAAGGCCUUCAACAGAAUCUUCUACCAUUCACUACGUGAAACCAGACUAGAACAUCUAGUGAAACCAGACUAGAACAUCUAGUAAAACCAGCAAUUGCAAAGCAGCAACCAUACAUGGUCGCAAUCGAAUAACACUGCACAUUUUUAAUUAUUACUAACAAAAAUAUAUCUAAAUACGAAAUACAAUAAUAUAUCAUUUUUAUUAUUAUGUUUAAAGAAAUUAUUAGUUUUAUAGUAUUUUUAAUAUUUAU
rnacentral:lncRNA from 1 species